AUUGAACGCUGGCGGCAGGCUUAACACAUGCAAGUCGAGCGAGCGGCGGACGGGUGAGUAAUGUCUGGGAAACUGCCUGAUGGAGGGGGAUAACUACUGGAAACGGUAGCUAAUACCGCAUACCAUCAGAUGUGCCCAGAUGGGAUUAGCUAGUAGGUGGGGUAAUGGCUCACCUAGGCGACGAUCCCUAGCUGGUCUGAGAGGAUGACCAGCCACACUGGAACUGGAAAACGGUCAAGACUCCUACGGGAGGCGGCAGUGGGGAAUAUUGCACAAUGGGCGCAAGCCUGAUGCGGCCCUUCCGCGGGGGAUAAGAAGGCCUGCGGGUGGUAAAGCAUUUUCAGCGGGGAGGCGGUACUCGCAGAAGAAGCACCGGCUAACGCCGAGCCAGCAGCCGCGGUAAUAC
rnacentral:rRNA from 1 species